GAUGAACGCUAGCGGCAGGCCUAACACAUGCAAGUCGAGGGAGAAGCCCUUUCGGGGGCAGAAACCGGCGCACGGGUGCGUAACGCGUAUGCAACCUACCUUUCACAGGGGGAUAGCCCGAAGAAAUUUGGAUUAAUACCCCAUAAUAUUAUUGGAUGGCAUCAUUUGAUAAUUAAAACUGCGGUGGUGAAAGAUGGGCAUGCGUCCUAUUAGCUAGUUGGAGUGGUAACGGCACCCCAAGGCUACGAUAGGUAGGGGUCCUGAGAGGGAGAUCCCCCACACCUGUAACGAGGCAGGGACCAGAACCCUACGGGAGGGAGGAGUGAGGGAUAUUUGGCAAUGGUCCGGAGACCGAACCAGCCAUGCCGCGUGCAGGAAGAAUGCCUUAUGGGUUGUAAACUGCUUUUAUAUGGGAAGAAUAAGGCGUACGUGUACGUUGAUGACGGUACCAUAUGAAUAAGCAUCGGCUAACUCCGUG
rnacentral:rRNA from 1 species